rnacentral:rRNA from 1 species
AUUGAACGCUGGCGGUAUGCUUAACACAUGCAAGUCGAACGGCAGCAUGGUCUAGCUUGCUAGACUGAUAGCGAGUGGCGGACGGGUGAGUAACGCGUAGGAAUAUGCCUUGAAGAGUGGGACAACUUGGGGAAACUCAAGCUAAUACCGCAUGUACUCGAGAGAGUAAAGCUGGGGACCUUUAGGCCUGGCGCUUUAAGAUUAGCCUGCGUCCGAUUAGCUAGUUGGUAGGGUAAAGGCCUACCAAGGCGACGAUCGGUAGCUGGUCUGAGGGGAUGAUCAGCCACACUGGAACUGAGAGACGGUCCAGACUCCUACGGGAGGCAGCAGUGGGGAAUAUUGGACAAUGGGGGGAACCCUGAUCCAGCAAUGCCGCGUGUGUGAAGAAGGCCUGAGGGUUGUAAAGCACUUUCAGUGGGGAGGAGGUUUGGAAGGUUAAAAGCUAUUCAAAUGGACGUUACCCACAGAAGAAGCACCGGCUAACUCCGUGCCAGCCGCCGCCGUAA